rnacentral:misc_RNA from 1 species
UCUGAAAUGAAAAUCAUGUCUUCUCAUAUUACACAUUCAUCUCUAAAGUCUGUACACACUACUAUAGUAACCAAUAGUUUCAUCAGACCCAUGAUGACAUUUACAAAAGGUUAAUAUCAACGGAAAGACUAAGUUCUACACAUAACAGUAGUAAAGACUCGUUCCACACGUCACAGUUGUGAAUACUCGUCAGUGUGAAACAUUGGCGCGAUAAAAGUGCAGCAAUUUGAGUGGUGAUACAUAUUCCUGGAGAAGAUCGUCAUGCUCAGGGGGUAAAUCAAAACCUGUUGAGCAAUUUUGCAACACCUCAGGAUUCUUCAUCCAUGCUUUUCGUGCAUCACUAAGUUUAAUUUUGAGCCUGUACACCUCAGAAAGUGAGACAGGA